GCCAGCGUAGCUCAGUCGGCAGAGCAGCUGUUUCGUAAACAGCAGGUCUCCAGUUCGAAUCUGGACGCUGGCU
rnacentral:tRNA from 1 species